UGAGGAACGUGCCCCGGAGACCGGGAUAACAGCGGGAAACCGCUGCUAAUACCGGAUACCUUCCUUUGACCGCAUGGUCAGCUGAAGAAAUGGAUUCCGCUCCGGGAGCGCCUCGCGGUCUAUCAGCUUGUUGGUGGGUAACGCCUACCAAGGCGACGACGGAUAGCUGGUCUGAGAGGAUGGCCAGCCACAGUUGGGACUGAGACACGGCCCAGACCUCCGUACGGGAGCAGCGAG
rnacentral:rRNA from 1 species